ACGGAAGGCAGCAGUGGGGAAUAUUGCACAAUGGGGGAAACCCUGAUGCAGCGACGCCGCGUGAAGGAAGAAGUAUCUCGGUAUGUAAGCUUCUAUCAGCAGGGAAGAUAGUGACGGUACCUGACUAAGAAGCCCCGGCUAACUACGUGCCAGCAGCCGCGGUAAUACGUAGGGGGCAAGCGUUAUCCGGAUUUACUGGGUGUAAAGGGAGCGUAGACGGUGUGGCAAGUCUGAUGUGAAAGGCAUGGGCUCAACCUGUGGACUGCAUUGGAAACUGUCAUACUUGAGUGCCGGAGGGGUAAGCGGAAUUCCUAGUGUAGCGGUGAAAUGCGUAGAUAUUAGGAGGAACACCAGUGGCGAAGGCGGCUUACUGGACGGUAACUGACGUUGAGGCUCGAAAGCGUGGGGAGCAAACAGGAUUAGAUACCCUGGUA
rnacentral:rRNA from 1 species